ACUCAAAUGAAUUGACGGGGGCCCGCACAAGCAGUGGAGCAUGUGGUUUAAUUCGAAGCAACGCGAAGAACCUUACCAAGACUUGACAUCCCGCUGACCGGUUCAGAGAUGGACCUUCCCUUCGGGGCAGCGGAGACAGGUGGUGCAUGGUUGUCGUCAGCUCGUGUCGUGAGAUGUUGGGUUAAGUCCCGCAACGAGCGCAACCCUUGAACUGUGUUGCCAGCAUUGAGUUGGGCACUCACAGUUGACUGCCGGUGACAAACCGGAGGAAGGCGGGGAUGACGUCAAAUCAUCAUGCCCCUUAUGUCUUGGGCUACACACGUGCUACAAUGGGCGGUACAACGGGAAGCGAAAUCGCGAGAUGGAGCCAAACCCUGAAAGCCGUUCGUAGUUCGGAUUGCAGGCUGCAACUCGCCUGCAUGAAGCCGGAAUUGCUAGUAAUCGCGGAUCAGCAUGCCGCGGUGAAUACGUUCCCGGGCCUUGUACACACCGCCCGU
rnacentral:rRNA from 1 species